UCGUUCCAGUAUCGGCUAGGGUUGGAGUGCACAGCCUAAGCUAAUUCCGACUGGCUAUUUUAAAGAGAGCAGGGGUAUGACCUGGAGUGGCAGGAAGUGACUCUCCAGGGGAGCUAAAAUCCAUGUAUUUGGGCACACACUUGAACAAUAUUGCUAGAGAAAUUUAAGCAAGAACACAAAGAAAGAAUCAUCUGAAAGGAAUGUGGAGAUCAGAGAAAAAUGAUGGGAAAGUUACCACAGCCUGCAAAUGAGAAAUGAUGAGAGCCUGCCUGGGGUAAGGCAGUUGUGUGGGAUGGAA